UACGUAGGGUCCAAGCGUUAUCCGGAAUCACUGGGCGUAAAGCGUGCGUAGGUGGCGCGUUAAGUGUGAUGUUAAAUCGUGUGGCUCAACCAUAUCGAUGCAUCACAUACUGGCGUGCUAGAGGACAGCAGAGGCAAGUGGAAUUGGUAGUGUAGCAGUGAAAUGCGUAGAUAUUACCAGGAACACCAAUGGCGAAGGCAUGCUUGCUGGGCUAACUCCUGACACUGAGGUACGAAAAGCGUGGGGAGCGAACAGG
rnacentral:rRNA from 1 species